rnacentral:pre_miRNA from 1 species
AAAAAGACAAACCCUGAUUUUCGUGUCCAACGUUUGACCGUCCGUCUUAUUUGAAAAAAUUAUAAAAAAAAUUAAAAAGACAAGUCACGCAUAAAAUAUUAAUCAUGAUUUAUCAUCUAACAACAAUAAAAAUACUAAUUAUAAAAAAAUUUUAUAUAAGACGGACAGUCAAAAUUGGACACGGAAAUUCAGAGUUUGUUUUUUU